AGAGUUUGAUCAUGGCUCAGAUUGAACGCUGGCGGCAGGCCUAACACAUGCAAGUCGAACGGUAACAGGAAGCAGCUUGCUGCUUCGCUGACGAGUGGCGGACGGGUGAGUAAUGUCUGGGAAGCUGCCUGAUGGAGGGGGAUAACUACUGGAAACGGUAGCUAAUACCGCAUAAUGUCGCAAGACCAAAGAGGGGGACCUUCGGGCCUCUUGCCAUCGGAUGUGCCCAGAUGGGAUUAGCUUGUUGGUGGGGUAACGGCUCACCAAGGCGACGAUCCCUAGCUGGUCUGAGAGGAUGACCAGCCACACUGGAACUGAGACACGGUCCAGACUCCUACGGGAGGCAGCAGUGGGGAAUAUUGCACAAUGGGCGCAAGCCUGAUGCAGCCAUGCCGCGUGUAUGAAGAAGGCCUUCGGGUUGUAAAGUACUUUCAGCGGGGAGGAAGGGAGUAAAGUUAAUACCUUUGCUCAUUGACGUUACCCGCAGAAGAAGCACCGGCUAACUCCGUGCCAGCAGCCGCGGUAAUACGGAGGGUGCAAGCGUUAAUCGGAAUUACUGGGCGUAAAGCGCACGCAGGCGGUUUGUUAAGUCAGAUGUGAAAUCCCCGGGCUCAACCUGGGAACUGCAUCUGAUACUGGCAAGCUUGAGUCUCGUAGAGGGUGGUAGAAUUCCAGGUGUAGCGGUGAAAUGCGUAGAGAUCUGGAGGAAUACCGGUGGCGAAGGCGGCCCCCUGGACGAAGACUGACGCUCAGGUGCGAAAGCGUGGGGAGCAAACAGGAUUAGAUACCCUGGUAGUCCACGCCGUAAACGAUGUCGACUUGGAGGUUGUGCCCUUGAGGCGUGGCUUCCGGAGCUAACGCGUUAAGUCGACCGCCUGGGGAGUACGGCCGCAAGGUUAAAACUCAAAUGAAUUGACGGGGGCCCGCACAAGCGGUGGAGCAUGUGGUUUAAUUCGAUGCAACGCGAAGAACCUUACCUGGUCUUGACAUCCACGGAAGUUUUCAGAGAUGAGAAUGUGCCUUCGGGAACCGUGAGACAGGUGCUGCAUGGCUGUCGUCAGCUCGUGUUGUGAAAUGUUGGGUUAAGUCCCGCAACGAGCGCAACCCUUAUCCUUUGUUGCCAGCGGUCCGGCCGGGAACUCAAAGGAGACUGCCAGUGAUAAACUGGAGGAAGGUGGGGAUGACGUCAAGUCAUCAUGGCCCUUACGACCAGGGCUACACACGUGCUACAAUGGCGCAUACAAAGAGAAGCGACCUCGCGAGAGCAAGCGGACCUCAUAAAGUGCGUCGUAGUCCGGAUUGGAGUCUGCAACUCGACUCCAUGAAGUCGGAAUCGCUAGUAAUCGUGGAUCAGAAUGCCACGGUGAAUACGUUCCCGGGCCUUGUACACACCGCCCGUCACACCAUGGGAGUGGGUUGCAAAAGAAGUAGGUAGCUUAACCUUCGGGAGGGCGCUUACCACUUUGUGAUUCAUGACUGGGGUGAAGUCGGAACAAGGUA
rnacentral:rRNA from 1 species